CGCGAAUGGCUCAUUAUAACAGCUAUAAUUUACUUGAUCUUGACACAAUCCUACUUGGAUAACUGUGGUAAUUCUAGAGCUAAUACAUGCAUUAAAGCUCUGACCUCGCGGGAAGAGUGCAUUUAUUAGAACAAAACCAAGCGGCUUCGGCUGUUUUCGGUUGACUCAUAGUAACUGAGCUGAUCGCAUGGUCUUGCACCGGCGACGUGUCUUUCAAGUAUCUGCCGUAUCAACUUUCGAUGGUAGUGUAUCUGACUACCAUGGUGAUCACGCGUAACGGAGAAUAAGGGUUCGACUCCGGAGAGUUCGCCUGAGAAAUCGCGAACACAUCUAAGGAAGGCAGCAGGCGCGAAAAUUACCCACUCUCAGCACGAGGAGGUAGUGACGAAAAAUAACGAGACCGUUCUCUUAUGAGGCCGGUCAUCGGAAUGGGUACAAUUUAAACCCUUUAACGAGUAUCUAUGAGAGGGCAAGUCUGGUGCCAGCAGCCGCGGUAAUUCCAGCU
rnacentral:rRNA from 1 species